UACGUAGGGUGCGAGCGUUGUCCGGAAUUACUGGGCGUAAAGAGCUCGUAGGCGGUCUGUCGCGUCGGAUGUGAAAAUCCAGGGCUUAACCCUGGACCUGCAUUCGAUACGGGCAGACUAGAGUUCGGUAGGGGAGACGUGGAAUUCCUGGUGUAGCGGUGAAAUGCGCAGAUAUCAGGAGGAACACCGGUGGCGAAGGCGGGUCUCUGGGCCGAUACUGACGCUGAGGAGCGAAAGCGUGGGGAGCAAACAGG
rnacentral:rRNA from 1 species